GACGUAGGGCGCGGAGCGUUGUCCGGAUUUAUUGGGCGUAAAGAGCUCGUAGGCGGCUUGUCGCGUCGUCCGUGAAAACCAGGGGCUCAACCCCUGGCUUGCGGUCGAUACGGGCAGGCUAGAGUUCGGUAGGGGAGACUGGAAUUCCUGGUGGUAGCGGUGAAAUGCGCAGAGUAUCAGGAGGAACACCGGUGGCGAAGGCGGGAUCUCUGGGCCGAGUACUGACGCUGAGGACGAAAGCGUGGGGAGCGAAGCAGG
rnacentral:rRNA from 1 species